CUCUCUGAUGACUCUUAUAUUAGCUCUAGUACUGAGUUCACCUUGAAGAGAAAGAUAUACCGAUUCACCUUGGAGAACUGAUUU
rfam:Colletotrichum orbiculare MAFF 240422 contig04549, whole genome shotgun sequence.